rnacentral:rRNA from 1 species
UACGUAGGUGGCAAGCGUUAUCCGGAAUUACUGGGCGUAAAGCGCACGCAGGCGGUCUUGUAAGUUUGACGUGAAAGCUCCCGGCUUAACUGGGAGAGGUCGUUGAAUACUGCGAGACUUGAGUUUAGGAGAGGGGUGUAGAAUUCCCGGUGUAGUGGUGGAAUGCGUAGAUAUCGGGGGGAAUACCAGUGGCGAAAGCGGCACCCUAGCCUUUGACUGACGCUCAUGUGCGAAAGCGUGGGGAGCGAACGGG